rnacentral:lncRNA from 1 species
AAUCUAAUUAAAUUAUAUUUAAUUAGACUUAAUUUCAGCCCAUUGGCUUAAUCAAAUUAAGCUAAUUAGCAAUCGAAUUGCUAAUCGAUCCUCCUGCAACACUUACACUGGGUUAAAUGUCAAUCGUAUUGAUCAUUUAACCCUAGAACGAUUCUUAAUCGUUGAUCAACCAUCCGAUCGGAUCAUGAACUCUAAUGUGUGUGACCUUAUAGGUUUGAACCUA